CGGAAUAGCCAUUAGAAAUGGUGGGUAAUACUGUAUAAUCCCCGAGGGGGAAAGAUUUAUCGCUAUUAGAUGAGCCUACGUUAGAUUAGCUAGUUGGUGAGGUAAUGGCUUACCAAGGCUAUGAUCUAUAGCUGGUCUGAGAGGACGAUCAGCCACACUGGAACUGAGAUACGGUCCAGACUCCUACGGGAGGCAGCAGUGGGGAAUAUUGGACAAUGGGCGAAAGCCUGAUCCAGCUAUGCCGCGUGAGUGAAGAAGGCCUUCGGGUUGUAAAACUCUUUCAAUAGGGAAGAUAAUGACGGUACCUAUAGAAGAAGUCCCGGCAAACUCUGUGCCAGCAGCCGCGGUAAUACGGAGGGGGCAAGCGUUGUUCGGAAUUAUUGGGCGUAAAGGGCACGUAGGUGGACUAGUAAGUUAAAAGUGAAAUACCAAAGCUUAACUUUGGAGCGGCUUUUAAUACUG
rnacentral:rRNA from 1 species